AAUUCACCAAAAGAGUGUUCAAGUUCAUUUGAAAAAUCAUCAUCAUUACAAAUGCAGUAAAUUACAAGAAUAUUGAGUCACCAGCCACUGUUCCACACUGUUUCAUCUACUUGGUUUUCAUAUGGUUCGUAUCCAUCAUUGCAAAUAUUAUAAAUUUCAUUUCAAAUAUUCCUGUAUGUCUUGCCUCUGUGCACAAUAUCAUACCUUCUGUAUCUGCAUGUGAGUGUUUAUUUUAAAUGGAGGCACAAUGCCUAGGGAAUCGGUCAUCAAUUUCUUCUGAAGACAUCUGUGGAAGAAAUAGCCUUAACAUGAGCUUCAUUUCUUAAUUGAAUGUGAAUUUAAUCAUAGAUAUAAUCUAAAUAGGUGAUGUGUUUUUAUUUUCCUUACUCCAGAACUGCCUGAUCUCUGAAGAUUUGACAUGUUUGACUUGCUUUUCAACUAGGGUGCCGGUGGAGCGCAUGGUGAAAAUCCAUGUUCCUACAUUCAUACGUUAUGUUAGAUGACAGACUCUCCCAGGUUGAAGAAGACGUGUCAAUGGGCAAUGCUGGUGCGAAAGUGAUCCUGCACAAGGAUAUGUCUUUGUAACUGGUCACGGGGAACCUGGAGCCUAUCCCAGGAAGCAUCGGGCACAAGGCGGGGUACACCCUGGACAGGGUGCCAGUCCAUCGCAGGGCACAAUCACAUACACACUCACACACCCAUUCAUACACUACGGACACUUUAGACACACCAAUCAGCCUACCAUGCAGGUCUUUGGACUGGGGGAGGAAACCGGAGCACCCGGAGGAAACCCCCACAGCACGGGGAGAACAUGCAAACUCCACACACACAUGGCCCUGACGGGAAUCGAACUCCAGACCCUGGAGGUGUGAAGCAAACGUGCUAACCACUAAGUCAUUUCUUCCUAAUUUGUUUAUUAACUUUUAUUGCAUGCCUAAAUGGAAUAAAAGUUAUUUGCCAGAUUCAGAUGCUCCUAAACAAAUUGUUAUAAAGUAUGAGUUUGUAACUUAUCAACAAAGACUGUACUAUCAUUUCUAAUAUGAUGCCUUUAAAAUGGAAAAAUAUUUUCACUGAUAUAUUUCAAAGAAUUUUUUUACCCUAGUUUACACUAAAUGUCUAAUAUUCUGUUCGGUUGGAAAUAUGCCUCAACUGUUAAAAUAUUUUGAAACCUUUACAAAUAACUCUCCUGUUCUAUAACUUUGGCUUAUAGUGUAUAUGACUGCUCACUGUCAUAAACCCAUACAAGGAAAUAAACUAAUCAUUUUGACUCCAGAUCAGGAGUGGGUAAAGACAUACUAGUGAUCUGAUCUAUAUUAUAUAUACAUACUUUAGAUAAUGCCUCUCUGAGGGCCAUGUUGGAAUGUUCCCAAGUCAAAGUACUGUAGAACUAAGCAUUAGAUCACCUCAUCAUACUCUUUCCAUACCAUCGUGCUCUUUGCCUGACAAAGCCAUUCACAUUCUAUGUCAAAACAUAUUUGACAGUUGGGGUCUAAUUCUAAAAUCACCAGAUACCAAAUGUACACCAGUUUUGUCUUUCUGCCAUCACAAAAUAAAAAUGUUUAAACCUUAACUAAUGUAGUCACGGGAGGUAUAUACAUUUUUCACACUACAUUAAUGGUGGGGAUCCUUAUAGACUGUGGAACAGAAAUGUACUCAGUGUGUCUCCACAGAUUUAUUUCACAUUGCAGUACAACCAUUUUUUCUUUUUUUUUUACCAUUAUGGACGAAACACCCAUUUCUUUUAAAACAUCAUCUUUAAAUGUUUUUCUACCUCCUAAAAAAACCCUCGGCCUUAAGACACGAUCUUUGGAGUUGUUGACGCCCUGUUCAGGGUUAAACAACAACGUCUUUACAAUAUCUUCAUGAAUAAAUAGCCAAACUAACACCUUGGUUUUUUUUCUUGGAGCAGAAGUCAGGUCCUCUCUCAUUUCAACAGGUACUCUUG